UUUUACCCCAGAUUGUAGUGCAAAGCAUUUUUCUUGAACGCUAUAUUAUUUAUUAACCUUAAAGAGCGACUGGAAGAAGCUCCUUUAUGGUCCUACAAAAAAAACGUUCUAGGAAAAUCUUGAAACGGAAAGCUGGAUUUAGU
rnacentral:sRNA from 1 species